rnacentral:rRNA from 1 species
AACGAACGCUGGCGGCAUGCCUAACACAUGCAAGUCGAACGAGACCUUCGGGUCUAGUGGCGCACGGGUGCGUAACGCGUGGGAACCUGCCCUUAGGUUCGGAAUAACUCCCCGAAAGGGGUGCUAAUACCGGAUAAUGUCUUCGGACCAAAGAUUUAUCGCCUUUGGAUGGGCCCGCGUUGGAUUAGCUAGUUGGUAGGGUAAAAGCCUACCAAGGCGACGAUCCAUAGCUGGUCUGAGAGGAUGAUCAGCCACACUGGGACUGAGACACGGCCCAGACUCCUACGGGAGGGAGCAGUGGGGAAUAUUGGAGGAGGGGGGAAAGCCUGAUCAAGCAAUGCCGCGUGAGUGAUGAAGGCCUUAGGGUUGUAAAGCUCUUUUACACGGGAUGAUAAUGACAGUACCGGGAGAAUAAGCUCCGGCUAACUCCGUG